UACGUAGGGACCGAGCGUUGUCCGGAAUCAUUGGGCGUAAAGAGCGUGUAGGCGGCCAGACAGGUCCGUUGUGAAAACUCGAGGCUCAACCUCGAGAUGUCGAUGGAAACCGUCUGGCUAGAGUCCGGAAGAGGAGUGUGGAAUUCCUGGUGUAGCGGUGAAAUGCGCAGAUAUCAGGAAGAACACCUAUGGCGAAGGCAGCACUCUGGGACGGUACUGACGCUGAGACGCGAAAGCGUGGGGAGCGAACAGG
rnacentral:rRNA from 1 species